AGAGAGAGAGAGAGAAGAAAGGAGAGAAAUGGAGGUAAAGGGAGAGGUGAAAUGUGAGGGAGGGAGGGAAGUAUGUUUAGGAGAGGAAAGUUAAAGAGAGGACAGAGGAAGGAGAAAGGAAAGGAAAGAAGGGGAGAGAAAGGGAAAGAAGGUGCGGGAGGUAAGAGUUAUGCGAGGGAGGAGGAGGAAGAGGAGGAGGAGGAGGAGGAGGAGGAGGCGAUGCGACCAUAAGCCACCUGAGGAGAAGGGGAGGAACUUAUGUAAUGCCUUGAGACCUCCUCCUCCUCCUCCUCCCAAUAACCCUGUGGCGUUUUGGGGUGGGGAGGAGGAGGAGGAGACGUUACGUAACAAGUUUGGUUGAAGGGGAAACUGUGGCUGAGAGAGAGAGAGAGAGAGAGAGAGAGAGAGAGAGAGAGAGAGAGAGAGAGAGAGAGAGAGAGAGAGAGAGAGAUCGCGCGCAGCCUCCCAAACCAGAUGAAGAUUUAAGCAGCUCGCAUCAUUAAGAACUCCCUGAGAGACUAAAGAAGAGACGGAUGGGGAGAGAAGGGGAGAUAGAGGAUAGAGGGGAGAGGGGAGGAAAACUACGGAUGAGUGAUGGUAAAUGAGUUAGGGGGACUCCUUUAAGUGGAUAAUAGAUGAGUGGAUUCGUGGAUUACCUGCGAGUGCCAAUCAAGGUGGAGCGGAAGAGAUUGAUUACGAAUUACCUGGAUUUUUUUUAUACCUGUGUCCUCGGGGAUAGGGGAAGAGAGAGGGAGAGGGAAAAAAAUAAGUGAUUGAGGUUAUAGGAGGUAAGGGAGGGAGGAAGUAACAUUGGAGGCUGGAGAGAGAAAGAAGAAGGGGGGAAGAGAUAAGAAGGAGUGUGAGGAGGAAGGGAAGGAAACAAAGGAGGAGAUAGAUUGAGGAAAUAGAUAGAAAAGAGGAGUGUGUAAAGAACAUGGGUAGGAAGAAAUAGAAGCUGAUAGAGAUGGAAAAUGGUUGAGGGAGAGGAGGAAGAAAUGGAGGAAGGAGAAUAGAAUGGAGGAAGAGAAUUGGAUGAAAGAGCUGAAGAGACAGGAAAGGAAGCGGUCUAUAUAUAAAAGAAGCGAGGAGGGAGAAAUCAAUUGUCUUCGUUUCUUCAAGGUUAAAAAAAUAUUCGCAAGGCAUCGUUGAAUAUCAGAUUUUUUUUUCCGUUUUUCCUUUUAUUUGAUCUUGUUUUACUGUCGUUUUUGUCAUCGUUUGGUCACGGUUUUGGUUGGUCUUUCUUUCCAUGUGUUGUUUUUCUAUUUAACCUUUUCGUAACUUUUUUUUCCCCACAUUUUCGUAACUCUGAGGAUCACCUUGUUACCUUGGUCGCUUUUUUUGUUACCACUUUUUCUCUUGUUCAUUUUUUUCCGGUAUGUCACUUUUUCUCCUGUUAUUUUUUCUUUUCUCAACUUUCUCACCACUUCUUACACACACACACACACACACACACACACGACCUUGAGACGUGAUCUGGGAGUGCAAGUGAAAAGUGAGCAGCCACAUCAGCGCCACACACAGGUAAGGCGAAGGUGCACACGUGGACAGGUGUUGUGUGCGCGCGCGAAGGUGCUGCAGGAAAAGGACGUGGGGAGGGGGAGAGGGAGAAGGGAAGUGGAGGAGUGUUAAAUUAAAGGAAUAGUGUAUGUAAGAAGGAGGGAAAGAAAAGUGAAGAGUAAGGAAGGAAGGAAAAGAUUGGAUUGGCCAGGAAAGUACGGAGGGAAGAGAAGAGAAGGAAGGAAUUAAUAGAAUAAGAUGGGAAAGUCUGGGAAGGCGUGGGAAAGGAAAGAAAUGAAGGUACAAGAACCGAAGGAAAGGACGACCAAAAAAAUAAGAAAUGAAAGAUGAAAUACAAAGGAAACGAAUGAAUGAAGGAAGAAAAAGCAAGUACAGGUGUUGGCUUAUAUAAGAAAAUCUAAACAGGUGUGCAUCUCUGGAAUCUCGAAAAAAAAAGAAAAAAAAAGUAUAUAAAUAAUCAGCUAUAAAGUAGAACUGUUGAAGUUUUAGUGAAAGUGGAAGAACAAGUAUAUACCACAAGACAAUCAGAAGAGUUGUGGAGAGGGAGGAAGAAAUGGUGGAGGUGACUAGGUACAUUUAUCAGACGGGAGUGGAGGUGGUGGAGAGGUUUUAGUACAUACAAGUGGAAGAAGUUGAAAAGCACAUUCCACAAGACGGGGAUGAUGAGUACGGGAGAGGGGGAGGGAAUGGAGGUAACUAAGGGGAGGAGGUGGAGUGGAAGGGAGAUGUGGAAUCGGAGAGGGAAAGGAGGUGGGGGAGGAGGAGGUAGAGGGGUGACGGGGUGCAUAUAUUUCUGAGGUUGAAGGUUGCACGGGAUGGGGAUUGGGAAGCUGCUGGAAUAUUUUAUCAGCGGUCAGUAGCAGGGAUGGGAUUGGGGAGGAAAGGAGGGAUGGAGAAGUGGAGGAAAAGAUCAGAAGAGAAGAUGACGUACUCUCCUUUCCUCCUUUAUUUCCGUCCUCUACCUUUCUUCCUCCCAUUCCUUUUCAGUCCACACUUUCAUCCUAGACUAUCCUAUCCUUCCUUCCUUCCUUUACUCUGAUUUAUACAAGCUGGGUUUAGUAGAGGUAGUGUUUUUUAUGGUGAUUGUAGUGGUUGAGAAAGUGUGGAUUAUGGCGGGGAACUGAUGUAUAGGGGGUGGAGGGUUUAUGGAGGAGGUGGAGGAAAAAUCUGUGUUGAGAGGAGGGAUGGAGAGAGGGAGAAAUGAUAAGGGAAAAGGGAAGAGGAAUCGUUAGAAGGAAUGGAGAGGAGUGGAGUGCAACAUUCUGAGCUGUGGUUUUGAUGGAAGAAAGAAGAGGAGGAGGAGGAGGAGGAGCAACUAAAGUCUUGGCGGCUGUGGUGGAGGACAAGUGGAGAGGGAGAGUGCAUAGAACUGGAAGUGGAGUGUUGGGGAGUGUGAGGGGGAGAGGGAGAAGACCGGUGCGGGGAGUAAAAACCAGACCACCUUGAGUCCUGCCGGCCGGUCGGGAGCAUCAUACCUUGCUCGGGUCCUCCUCCUCCACCUCCUCCUCCUCCUCCUCCUCCUCCUCAUCCACCGGGAAAAGUUGUUCAUGUUAAAAUCAUCCGUCUCUGUUUUGGUUUGUCUGUUUAUAUCGUUUUCUAUCUUUGUGUUUUCUCUCUCUCUCUCUCUCUCUCUCUCUCUCUCUCUCUCUCUCUCUCUCUCGCUCGCAAAAGUUGAGUGGAUGAACCGUCUCCACUGUCGCCGCCGCCGCCCUCGUCUGUGCCGCACCUUGUUUUCCGCGGGCAAGGUCACGGCAGUACCUGAGUAGGGAAGAGGAGGAGGAGGAGGACGACGAUAAUGGCUCUGGGGUCCUCGUAUUCAUUGUGCUCACACCGCCGUUAGGAGAUUGAGACUCAUUGGCCCUCACCUGGCAUCCGGGAGGUAAUAAGCGCCUCUUUUUACCUGUCUUCACCUGUUUCCGUCUCCCCUUCAUACCAUCUCCCCUUUCCCGUUUAUCUUCGCCGUUUCCUUCUUCUUAUUAAUUAUCUGGGAAAGGUGACAUUGAAGAAGGAAAAUGCGUAUGUGUCGUCGGAACGGAAUGCUGUUUAAGGGGAAUAGUGAUGAAACACAUUGAGGGAGAGAACACUAGAAAAGAAACAGACAAGGGUAGGAAAGAGGAGAAUGUCAGUAGAUUUUAGAUGUGUGAGUAUUAGGAGGAGUAUAAGUAAGGAGGAACUUAGGAGGUGCAAUAGUGUCCUGAUGGAGAAGCAACAGGAGGAGGGAAAAGGAAAGUGGAGGGGAAUAGGGCGAGGCAAGAGUGUUUGGGGAUGGAAGAGGAACAAGAAUAGGGAAAGGGGAAGAGGGAGGUUGGGGAGUGGAGGGAACGUCAGCAGUGUUUACAGAGAUGCUCGUGGUCUCUCUCUCCUGUCAUGACCGGUUCGUGUGUGUGUGUGUGUGUGUGUGUGUGUGUGUGUGUGUGUGCUCAGGUGUGUUCCAGGUGGUCGCGGCAGGGCAAGCUCACCUCUCUGCACUAAUUUUACUCUUAAUAUCCCGCGUGGUUUUAUGCUCCAAAAUAGAAAAAAAAGUAAAGUAAUUCAUUAAUGAUAUUCAGCGUUCAUUAGGCUGGUCAUUUUUCCUGACAUCGGCGUAAUUCAAAUGUUCGGGCGGCGGAGCAUUAGCCUCGGCUGCAGGAGCUGGCGCACAAUAGGCCAUUCCCCCGGCCCGGAGAUUAAUACAGCUUUAAGCACUUAGCCCCAGAAUUAGUUAUGGCACAGGUCUAUGUUCAGGAAAUUAAAAGUGACCUGCUCCCCGCGCCACAGGUCACCCGCUAGGACGACCUGCUGGUGAGGGCUACGCGGCCAAACCUGUAGUAGUAGUAGUUGCCUUUGCGGGUUGUGCACUGCAGGAAACGAGUGAGGGGAGAGGGGGGGUGGAGGGCGUGUCGGGGUGGGCCAGAGGGAAGGAUGACGGUACUUUUUGUUUCCUCUGCACAAUGUCUCGCCUUUCUACUUCUGUCUUUCUUUCCCUAUAUUUCUGUCUCCCGUUUUCCGUCUGUCUUCGCCGUUUUCUUAUUAUUAUCUUAUUUCUUGCUUCUUAUUGUUCUUUCCUCCUCUCUUCUAUACUACAGUUCCUCUCCUUUUCGUAAAUAACAACAAACAAGGCCGCCAGUGAUACCAGUUUUGGGGGUAACUACUUUCCGGCAUGCUGAUGAUGGUGGUGAUGAGUGAGAAUGGUGUUAGGAGGUGGGGUGAGGGUGGUAUUCUCCCUGCUGGUGGUGGUGGUGGUACUGCUGCUCCCUGCUCCCCGUGACCCCGAGAAGCUGUUAAAAAUGAAGGGAAUAAAAAAAGAGGAGAAAAAAACUAACCAGACACGAAUUCCCACUUUCAUCCGUUUUAUACGCCCGCCGCUGACUGGCUCGCCGGCCCGCCCCUCUCCAUCCGUCUCUCUCUCUCUCUCUCCCUCUCUCUCUCUCUCUCCAUUAUCCUUCACUUUCCUUCCUCCCUCACACUUGCUCUGUUCACAUGCUCCCUUCACUCAUGUCGCUCUCCCUCCCUCCCUUUCCUCCCCUGCCCACUCUCCCCUCUUUCUGUCCUCUCCUUUCCUCUUUCUGUCUCCCUUUCACACUUUAUCCUCCCCUCCUGUCUUCCCUUGUUGUCAGUUCUCUUUCCCUGUUGCAGUCACCUCUCUCCGUCUACUUAUUUUCACUCCUCCCUCUUCCCUUCUCCUCUUUACUGUUGUUUAUUUUCCCUGUCUUCUCUUCCUUCCUUGCACACUUUCUUGUUUUUUUUCUCCUUCCCGUCAUCGUUUUCCCCUUUUCCCUCUCCCUCUCUCUUUACUCUUGUCAUUUCCGCCACUUCCUGUUCCUUUAUUUUUGUCUCUCCCUUUUUCCCUAUAUUCUGCAGUCCCUCUUUCGUAACCCAUCAGCGACACCCUAUACCUCUCAUGUCCUGUCCCAUCCUACCCUUCCCUCGCCCAUUUCCUCAAGUCCACUCCCUCCCUUGACCUGCAGUACUCCCAUUUCCCUCCCUUACUCCCUACCCUACUUGCAUAAUCCACUCCCAUACCCUCCGCCAUGGUUACUCCUCUGAGACUGUCCCUUCUUUUCCCCUUCAGUCCCAAACCAUCCAGCCGUCCCUUCGUCCCUUUACGUAUCACCUUUCUCACUCUACCCCUUUAUAGAAUUUGAUGUCGCCCAUAUCUCACCCACGUCAGUCACUCCCUUCCCCUCACGUCCCGUUCCGCAGCGUCCCUUCCUUAUCCCUUCUCGUUCAUCAUACUCCCCUUACUCUCCAUCUCUCUCUCCCCCUCCCCGCCCUUGCCUCCUAUUUCAGUGUGUGUGUGGAAAGGCUCAAAGGCGUUCUGCAUCACGUGGACAAACAGGGGGACGAAUGGUGGACGCGGACUAGAGAUUCUUGGAAAAAAAAACUAAAAACUUUGAAAAAAAAAUGUAAUACUUUUGAUUUUUUUGAUUUUUUUUUUUUUUUGCGCUGUGAGGGAGGACGAGGUGAUGAAUGGUGUCUGGAAGCAUAGAAGACACGGGCGUGGCUUGGGGAAAGGGAAUAAGAGAGGAAAGGAUAGGCAAGGAAGGGAGAGAGGGAAGUAUAGGAAGGUAAGGGAGAGAGGGAUGGAUAGGUAAGGUACGGGAGAGAGGGAAGGAUAGGUAAGGUACGGGAGAGAGGGAAGGAUAGGUAAGGUAAGGGAGAUAGAGGGAAGGAGAGGUGAAGAAGGGAGAGAGGGAAGGAGAGGUGAGGAAGGGAGGGGAGGUAUGGUGACGAGGUUAAGUCAGAUAAUGUGUGUGUGUGUGUGUGUGUGUGUGUGUGUGUGUGUGUGUGUGUGUGUGUGUGUUUGGGGGUGAUUGAGGAGAGUAAGUCAUUAGGUAUACAGGUAAAAGUGGAUGACGUCAAGGCAAGUAACAUGCUGGUCAGGUGUGUGUGUGUGUGUGUGUGUGUGUUGACAAGGGCACGUAGGCUUGUCGUGGACGGGCAGGCGGCGGGCACGAGGGUGGGUGGUUGGGGUGGGUGUGCGUGGCGACUGAGCGGCGACAUCGGCGGACCGGGCGGGGGUGAGGGUGGGAGGUGUAACACUAGCUGAGGGUGUUGCGUGGGAGGCGGCCCCUGCGUCCACUCCCUCGCACGCCACAUGGAGGGAAACGCUGAUGGAGGAGGAGCCAAUAGCAAUCAGCCAGUCAGUCAGUUACCCAGCCAAUCAGUCAGUUACCCAUCCAGCCAAUCAGUCAAUCCGUCACCCAACCUGCCAGUCAGUCAGCCAAUAGCGAUCAGCCAGGCAGUAGCAAUCGGGCAAUCAGUCAGUCAGUCAGCAAGUUAGGCAGUAGCGAUCAGCCAUUCAGUCAGCUACUCAGGCAGUCAGGCAGCAGUUGGUGUUCUUGUUUAACAUUCCGCGUGUCAGCAGGAGCUUAAACUUUGCCGCAGGAGCGAAAAAAAAAAAAAGGAAGUCCUGAAAAAUGCUCAAAGUUAAACAGUAAAAGUUCCAACACACCACAAGGCUGCAGUAAAGUGAUACAUCGCAUGACUGGAGCUGGAAUUGGAUAGUCUCUGCCACACACACACACACACACACACACACACCAUCGCCAGAUCAAAGCAUGUCAGUUCCGGUUAAGAUCGGAUUGUUUCUAUGAUGCAGGACACGUGUUCUUGCGUGGUGGGUUACCUGCAUGUCCUUUGUCUUGAGGGAGGCAUUGAGUCGUUUGUAUUCGUAGCGGAGGCCCAGUGAGGCGCGGCGAGGGGAAGUGACGACGCAAGGAGAAGGGAGGGGAGAAGAGGGGACAGGGAGGGGAGGAGGGAUAACACACUAGCAAGGGGUAAAUGCGUUGAAGUUUGUUACGGGUCAUUGAGUUCAGUGGUGAUGGUGGUUUAUAGUGUAAUGAGGAGCAGGUAGGCAGGCAGGUAUUAAGCAGGUGAAUGAUUAGGUAGGUAAACUUAUUAUGCUGUUGUACAAUCACUGUUAUCCUAUAUUAUUUUUUUUAUCAAGCUGUAACGGUGAUAGUAUUGGGAGGGCAGGGACAGGCAGGCAGGUAAUAUGAGCAGGUAGGCAAGCACGUGCAAUCUCAUCUUGUUCAUCAUCUCUUAGCCGUCCCGUUGUUGUUUUUUUGCCAAUGUUAUAAAAGAGGUAGUAUGAGGUACUUGUGACAUGAGCAUAUGUAUUAUUUUUUUCAUAUUUCGUAGUGGAAAUAUGCAAUUUAUAAAGAAAUCUUUCCCUCUAAGGUUGCGUUUGUUCUGUCAAAGGCUGUUUGUAUGGCUACCUUAGUCUGCAUAAUGCCUGUGUGUGUGUGUGUGUGUGUGUGUGUGUGUGUUCUUGCAGUCAACUUUGUGCGCUGAAUUCCAUUAGGAUGUCUUCUUUGCCCGGUGGGACGUGUGUUGUGUAAGUAAUUAAAUUCAGCUCCUCAGUUUGACCACCGUGCAAACAGGAGUGUGUGUGUGUGCGCGUGUGGCUUGCGGAGGGGAUUUUCACGUGUCUGGGUAAUGUAGGGAGCAGCGUCAUGGGUGGGGCCCCUCUCCCCUCCCUCCCCCUCCUCUCCCGUCCCCUACCCGUCCCGCGCCGCUCCCCAGCUGGUGUCGUGAGCGGGGCUGCUGGGAAGUUGGGAACUGGCUCCCGCGUGUAUGUAUUCACGUCUUUCGUUUCUACUCCUUUUCCACUAACUUGACGACAGGCUUCUGUGUCUCCCUGCGUAAUAUACUGACGGCAACAACAACAAAACGUUGUAAUGGUUAUUUUAGCUUCCCAUAAACAAAUUUACGUUAAGAACGUUACAUGUUGACCUUGAAAGUUCAAAUUAUAGUCACUUUUUCAAGUGGGCGAAGUUAGACUGUGUCGUUUAAUUUAGAGUGCGAGCGAUGAGUCAGUGCAGCCACCGGUCAGUGGAGGAAGGGUGUGGCGUGCGUCACCGCUGAACUCACCGAAUGGCCGAGGCAGCGUGAGGCGUGGCGGGGAGCACUGACUCCAGGCAGGCCCUUGAGGCGCGUCACAGCCUUCUGCUGGGACGCCAGAGCGGCGCGCCUCCCUCCGCCGCAGGGCACCACAUGCUACUCCCGCGCUUUUUCUCGUUUCGUCACACGGUUAACUAACCGCAUCGGUGGCGGGCUAGCCAUUGAUUCAGAAGGUGGCCACGUGUGUGUGAGGACUAUAUUAUCAAGGCUGCUAAAUGAUAGGAAAUAGAGGGAAGGGUGUAGGCUGCUCGUGGCAGAGAACCUCAUUGCCACCCCCACCCCCCUCCAUUCCUUAUCCCCAGCACACGCGGUGGAAGGAUCGGGGUGGCUCUGUUUCUUCAAAAGUGAGUUGAUUAGAAUGUCUCAGGCGCCGUGAGGUGCCGAAGGUGUGUACGUGAGGAGACGAGAGGAAACGAAAGAUAGUGGGCGUAAGUUACCAGAGCUGGGAGUGAGUGAAGGAGCGGGAGGGAGGGAGGCAUUGGCGGGAACGGGGGAGCAGGAGCGCCUUUCCCAGCUUGGUUACACCCGCCGCACAGCUCUACUCAUCCCAGUCUUCACCAAUAUCAAGCGCCACAUACCACAACGCAACGCUCUGACUGCUGCACUGGGCCGACGAGAACGAAAAUAGAUAAAAGGAAAUGAAUAAUGGACGAGAGAAUGACGAAGAGAAAGUGUGACGAAGAGAAAGAAUGAUGUACAGUAAAUUUAUGGAAUGGAAGUGUUUGGUCGGACGCUGCAGAGUUUCAAAGAGACCUCGGCCGUGCGAAGGUGCCUCAGCCGUGCCGUAUGAAGUAGAAGUGUUUGUUUGGACGCUGCAGUGUUUCAAAGGCGCCUCGGCCGUGCAAAAGGUGCCUCAGCCGUGCCGUGGUUUUGGUGAGGCGCGUCCGUCCUGCCGCAACCCUGGAACGACCGCCACACCCCGCCGUAGGUAAGGAAGGAGGCGUUGUGUCGCUGCUGCUGCCGUUGUCCCGCCGUCACCUCGCUGCGGGGACGAGCGUCAAGGGUCACACUGAGCUGCGCUUCUUUUUAUUUGUUCCUCUGCUGCCCAGGGCUCUGCUCCACACGCUGUUUUUUGUUACUUGUGUUACUUGUUGUUACUUUUUUCUCAUGAUACGACAUGGCCAUUUUUUUAGCGCUGAGUACAUCAAAGGUUUUCCACUUGGAGGCCUGAAUGCUUUUGUUUGUGUGGGGAGAGUUGAGUUGUUUUGCGUGGCGUGUGUGUGUGUACGUGUGUGUGUGUGUGUGUGUGUGUGUGUGUGUG